UACAAGUCGGCUCAUAGACUCUUAUUACUUUGACCAUAUUUUUAUCUUCCAUCUCUACUUUGCCAAUUUGUUUAUGCAACAUAGAAUAAUAUAUAUCUUUGUUUAAUCCAUGUCAAUAUCUAUUUUCUUUUUUAUGUUAUUUGAAUGGCUUAUUCAAAUAACAUAAACAUUAAAAAAAAUAAAAACCCUGGCAAUAACUUACUCUCCCGCGAACUCGCAGUACCAUCAGCGAAUAAGAGCUCAAGAUGGAAGAUAAAAAUAUGGUCAAAGUAAUAAGAGGCUAUGGUGAAUGCCUAGGAGCUUUAAGGCGAAUAAGGUCGAGCCAUUCAAAUAACAUAAAAAAGAAAAUAGAUAUUGACAUGGAUUAAACAAAGAUAUAUAUUAUUCUAUGUUGCAUAAACAAAUUGGCAAAGUAGAGAUGGAAGAUAAAAAUAUGGUCAAAGUAUUAAGAGUCUAUGGUGAAUGCCUAGGAGCUUUGGGGGGAGGAAGGUCGAACC
rnacentral:misc_RNA from 1 species